rnacentral:rRNA from 1 species
CACUCCUGCGGGAGGCAGCAGUGGGGAAUAUUGGACAAUGGGCGCAAGCCUGAUCCAGCCGUGCCGCGUGAGUGAUGAAGGCCCUAGGGUUGUAAAGCUCUUUCACCGGUGAAGAUAAUGACGGUAACCGGAGAAGAAGCCCCGGCUAACUUCGUGCCAGCAGCCGCGGUAAUACGAAGGGGGCUAGCGUUGUUCGGAUUUACUGGGCGUAAAGCGCACGUAGGCGGACUAUUAAGUCAGGGGUGAAAUCCCGGGGCUCAACCCCGGAACUGCCUUUGAUACUGGUAGUCUUGAGUUCGAGAGAGGUGAGUGGAAUUCCGAGUGGAGAGGUGAAAUUCGUAGAUAUUCGGAGGAACACCAGUGGCGAAGGCGGCUCACUGGCUCGAUACUGACGCUGAGGUGCGAAAGCGUGGGGAGCAAACAGGAUUAGAAACCCUUGUAGUCCC